GCAGGCGCGAAACCUUUACACUGCACGACAGUGCGAUAGGGGGAUCCCAAGUGCACAGGCAUAGCGCCUGUGCUUUUCGGUACCCUAAGGCGGUACCAGAAUAAGGGCUGGGCAAGACCGGUGCCAGCCGCCGCGGUAAUACCGGCAGCCCAAGUGAUGGCCGAUCUUAUUGGGCCUAAAGCGUCCGUAGCUGGCCGUACAAGUCCAUCGGGAAAUCCACCUGCUCAACAGGUGGGCGCCCGGUAGAAACUGUGCGGCUUGGGACCGGAAGGCGCGACGGGUACGUCCGGGGUAGGAGUGAAAUCCCGUAAUCCUGGACGGACCGCCGAUGGCGAAAGCACGUCGCGAGAACGGAUCCGACAGUGAGGGACGAAAGCCAGGGUCUCGAACCGGAUUAGAUACCCGGGUAGUCCUGGCCGUAAACAAUGUCUGCUAGGUGUGGCUCCCACUACGAGUAGGUGCUGUGCCGUAGGGAAGCCGCUAAGCAGACCGCCUGGGAAGUACGUCCGCAAGGAUGAAACUUAAAGGAAUUGGCGGGGGAGCACUACAACCGGAGGAGCCUGCGGUUUAAUUGGAUUCAACGCCGG
rnacentral:rRNA from 1 species